UGGACUUUCUUGGCAAAGCCAUGAUGCUGUCAUGGGUGGACCCAGAAUUUUGUAAACGGGGUAUGGAUGCUGCAGGAAAGGCUGCACCCCCAUUCCCCACUCCCCUGCCCACCAGGAUUGGCAGACUAUGCUGGAAGAGCAGUAGCUUGGGAUUGUAUUUAAAUUCCUGAAACAAGAACCCCUGUAAUGUCCUCUCCCAUUUCCCCCAUAACCUGCCCACCUCCCCAGACCCUCUUUCUGAGCCUGGAAUGGAUCCAAACCAGACUCAUGGUCCUCAUUCCUGCAAAGGCUCCAGCUGUGCACUUUCUUAUCCUCCAGAACAAGUCACAGCUUACCAUUACCUCUGCAGGCUGCUCUUGGGAAUGGAAAGCAGUGCAAUCAGGGACAGCAGAGGAGGUGACGACAAUUUUGGGUCUGGUAGCUUGUGAAAUUUUAAUCUCAUUAAGUGUGUGACUGCAGUACAAUGAGACACAGGGCCAGAAUAUGAGACAUGUCAAGAUUUUAUUUGAAGGGCUAGGUUGCUUCCAAGGUGGAUAUACAAUUCAGAUAAAUAAGCUGGUGCCACCCGUUAGUCAGAUGUGCAGAAAACUGCUCUUUUGCUCUCCGCGAUAGACUGAAGGUGGAGUUAGCAAGAAUGGGAAACUUACAAGUGCAAGUGACACAGACAAUCCAGAACCUUCACAGUGGGUACACCUGGUAGAUAUUAUGGAGAAAAAUAACUGACAGUUAUGUGUGUGCCUGGAUCUGAGAAACCUCAACAAGGCUAUCAAAUUAUAACAUUUUAAAUUGCCAAAUAGGGAAGGGAUUUUGGCUCAAUUUGCAAAUACGUAAUUUUUCAGUGAACCAGAUGCCUCCUUAGGUUUUUGGCAGUUGAAUCACACACAGGAAAACUCUAAAUUAUGUACAUUUAGUACUCCCUUUGGAAGGUACAGAUUUGUGUGUCUACCUUUUCGUGCUGCUUGUGCUCCAUAAAACCAUACACAUGAUUUAUGAGUAUAUUCCUGAUGUGGACAUCUCUAUGGAUGAUAUCAACCAAAGCUCCACCAAAGAAGAACAUGAUCACAGGCUCUGGGAGGCUGUUGGAAGCUACUAGAGCUGUAAAUAUGAAAUUGAAUAGAGUGAAGUGCAUGCUGGGCAUCACAGAACUGAUUUUUAUAGAAGAUAUCAUCUCUACUGAAGGAGUGAAACCUGACCACACAAGUAUUAAAGCUACUGAAAUGAUACCACAUCUCCAGUAAAAGGAAGUGCAGUGGUUUCUUGGAAUGUUAAAUGAUGUGGGUAAAUUCAGACCGAAAUCAUUAGCAAAAACAACACCAGUGAGGAUACUCCUCAAGAAUGAAAACAAAUUAUGCUAGAUUAGAACAAGAAUAAUUAUGGCCUGCUUUGAAGAAAAAGCUGAUGCAAAAGGCACUAUUUAAAUUCUAUACACCUAGAAAACCUAUUAAAAACUGUCAGAUGUAUCUCUGUUAGGGGUUGGUGCACUGAUUUUGCAAAAAUAUACUGACAGUUGGCAACCAGUGGCCUUUGCAUUUAGUCAUUGGCCAAGAUAUAAACCAGAUAUGCACAGCUUGAGAAGAAGAAUAUUGUUUAUAUAAUGAUACAUUAUAUUAUUUGCCGGUGAGAGAUUUUACCAAUAUAUUUGUGGACAGACUCUUUACGCGGAAACAGACCACAAACCUCUGAUAACAUUAUUUAACAAGCCACUGAAAUGAUUGCAGUAUGAGGAUUCAAAGAAUGAUACUCAUGCUGCAAAAGUAUGAUUCAAUUUUUACAGUAAGUAAUUUAUAUUUAUUGCUGAUGUACUCUCUAGAGCUGUACAUCCAGCUAUGGAAUCAGAAAAGACCUUUAAGACAGAGGUUCAAGCUUAUAUAAACUUAAUUGUCAAGUUACUUCCUUUACCAGAUAUGAAACUGCAGCAAAUAAAAAUAGAAACAGAGAAAGACAAUUUACUGGGUCACUUGAAAGAAAUUACAGUUAAAUCUUGGCCAGAGUACAAAAGUAAUUACUGUACUGGAAUUACAGGCAUGAACUUCCAAUGGUAGAAUGGAUAGCUUUAAAGUUGAUGGUACCAAGGAGCCUUUGAAAGGAAAUGCUGCAGCAGCUCUAGCAUUGCAACAGAAAGAAAUGUAAGGAAUUACUCUGAAGCUAGUAGUCUGGUGGAAGGUGGGGAAGAAUUACAGCCUUAAGAGAGAUGGACACUAAAGCCUGGGCACAGGGCUUAAAAAGACAUAGUUACCCUGGGGAAGGGAAAUGUGUUUUCUUUUUGCUGUGAGAGCUGAGGCGGCUUGGUUUUGUUCAGUUAACCCGGAGGACCAGAGAGGACUAGCAAGGGGAGAAGAGGUCCCUGCAGGAGCCAGGAUGGGAUCCGAUAUAAGGAAAGAAAGCAACAGAGGGUGGAGGAGUAUAGAGGAAAACAGACUUGAGAAGGUUUAGUGAGCAAUAAAGCCAGAGUGAGCCUGGAGAAAUGCAAAGCGCACCACGAGAAGCAAGAGGGUGAGAGACAGUGGAGCAGGAAGGCCUAACAACUGUUACCCAAACUGAAGGCAAGAGAACAGAAAUUGAGAGAGAACUGAGUACCACAUUAACAUCCUCGUGAGCUGUAAGCAGCUUCCCUUCUUAAUUAAUACCUAAUAGGAAUUAUACUGUGUGGUGGCACUACAAAGAACCUGAACCUUGUGGAAGCUGAGCUCCAGGGUGGGAAGAAAGACUGGAGUGGUGCCCAUCUUGUAACUGUCUUCUGCAUUUUGUAGGAGACUUUCUAAUUAUGGAAGGUGCAGAGAAAAAUAAAAUAUUUAUUGCCUCUUUUACUUAAGUCUUCAUAAAUAAGGUCAGCUACCUGAUGAUAAGCAUAACUGGGAAAAAAGAUGAA